rnacentral:rRNA from 1 species
GUAAAGCGCGCGCAGGCGGCCUUUUAAGUUGGAUGUGAAAGCCUAUGGAAACCUAGAACUGCAUCCAAAACUAUCAGGCUAGAGUGUGGGAGAGGAAGAUGGAAUUAGUUGUGUAGGGGUAAAAUCCGUAGAGAUAACUAGGAAUACCAAAAGCGAAGGCAAUCUUCUGGAACAUUACUGACGCUGAGGCGCGAAAGCGUGGGGAGCAAACAGGAUUAGAUACCCUGGUAGUCCACGCCCUAAACGAUGAAUGUUAGUCGUCGGGUAGCUAGUCUAUUCGGUGAUGCAGCUAACGCAUUAAACAUUCCGCCUGGGGAGUACGGUCGCAAGAUUAAAACUCAAAGGAAUAGACGGGGACCCGCACAAGUGGUGGAGCAUGUGGUUUAAUUCGAAGAUACGCGAAGAACCUUACCUAGCCUUGACAUAUUUUAGAACACUUUAGAGAUAGAGUGGUGCCUUCGGGAGCUAAUAUACAGGUGCUGCACGGCUGUCGUCAGCUCGUGUCGUGAGAUGUUGGGUUAAGUCCCGCAACGAGCGCAACCCUCGUCACUAGUUACUAACGGUUCGGCCGAGGACUCUAGUGAGACUGCCUUCGUAAGGAGGAGGAAGGUGAGGACGACGUCAAGUCAUCAUGGCCCUUACGGCUAGGGCAACAC